GGGGGCGACUUGGUUUCGACGGGAUCGUUGAGGCCGCAGCCGCGCGCCGCGGACCCGGGGCUACGCGUUAACUUCCGCCGGAAAACUCAAACGCCAACGACAACGUUCGGCUCGCGGCCUAAACAACCGCCGCGACGCGAAACCUCCGACACCUGCUGAGAGGGGCCGCGACACUGAGCAGGCUGGACCAAGUCCGGGUGGCCGGGACCGAGUCGACAUCCACGUGGCCGCUGGCGCUUGAAGUGGCCCGCCUCCGGGCAGCUUCCUGGGCGAGACCCAAACGGAGGAUACGCGCGUAGACGCUUCGGUGGCUCGGUUUCGGACGGGGGUUCGAUUCCCCCCGCCUCCACCA
rnacentral:tmRNA from 1 species